UUAGAGUUUGAUCCUGGCUCAGGAUGAACGCUAGCGAUAGGCUUAACACAUGCAAGUCGAGGGGCAGCAUGGUCUUAGCUUGCUAAGACUGAUGGCGACCGGCGCACGGGUGCGUAACGCGUAUGCAACUUGCCUCACAGAGGGGGAUAACCCGUCGAAAGACGGACUAAUACCGCGUACACUUAGGAUAGGGCAUCCUAUCCCAAGGAAAUGAAUUUCGCUGUGAGAUAGGCAUGCGUCCCAUUAGCUAGUUGGUGAGGUAACGGCUCACCAAGGCGACGAUGGGUAGGGGAACUGAGAGGUUGAACCCCCACACUGGUACUGAGACACGGACCAGACUCCUACGGGAGGCAGCAGUGAGGAAUAUUGGUCAAUGGGCGAGAGCCUGAACCAGCCAAGUCGCGUGAAGGAUGACUGUCUUAUGGAUUGUAAACUUCUUUUAUACGGGAAUAACAAGAGUCACGUGUGACUCCCUGCAUGUACCGUAUGAAUAAGCAUCGGCUAACUCCGUGCCAGCAGCCGCGGUAAUACGGAGGAUGCGAGCGUUAUCCGGAUUUAUUGGGUUUAAAGGGUGCGUAGGCGGCCUGUUAAGUCAGCGGUGAAAUCUAGGAGCUUAACUCCUAAAUUGCCAUUGAUACUGGCGGGCUUGAGUGUAGAUGAGGUAGGCGGAAUGCGUGGUGUAGCGGUGGAAUGCAUAGAUAUCACGCAGAACUCCGAUUGCGAAGGCAGCUUACUAAGGUACAACUGACGCUGAAGCACGAAAGCGUGGGUAUCAAACAGGAUUAGAUACCCUGGUAGUCCACGCAGUAA
rnacentral:rRNA from 1 species